AUGGGGAAGAAGAAGGGGUUGAAAAAAACCCUAAUUGUUAUACAUGGAGAUAGAGAUAUCUACCAUUCGGUGGUGUUUGAGUGUUUCCUUCUCUUUUUCCCAUUUUGGGCUUGGUAACUAAGGAAUUACAAUGAAGAGGGGUGUUUUGGUGUUAGCGGGUGUGGUCGGAUUGUGUUUAGACGUUUAUUGUUCGGUUCUCGGCUAGGGUUAUUGAUGUAUGGUUUCAGCAUUAGACAAGAAUGGAGUAAAAAUGAGAAGAAACGCGUGCUUAAACAAUUUGUAAACCUUAUGGUUCUAUUAUGGUAGUCUGAAAGUCCUAAUGUUUUAAAAACCGGUAAAUACCGGCCAGUUAUACUGGUAUUACCGUUUUCAGAUGUAAAUCCGGUAUGAAAGACCCCGGUAAAUCAAUGAAAUGGCAUAAGGUUUGUACCGGCGGUAAAAUCUGGUAUACCGAUUUGAAACGUAAAACCGGUACCGGCCCAGGGUUAUUUUAGUUUGGGCUGUUACUUAUUUUUAUUAUAUAUGUUACUUAUCUUACGUAAUUUUUAUAUAUUAUGAUCAUUCGUAACUAAAAGUUCUUAUUUAAUAUUGUAUGAAACGAAAAUAGUUAUCCUCUAGUUGAUGAGGAUGGCGAAAAUAGUGAAUUUCAUCUU
rnacentral:lncRNA from 1 species